rnacentral:rRNA from 1 species
AACGAACGCUGGCGGCAUGCCUAACACAUGCAAGUCGAACGAGACCUUCGGGUCUAGUGGCGCACGGGUGCGUAACGCGUGGGAACCUGCCCUUAGGUUCGGAAUAACUCCCCGAAAGGGGUGCUAAUACCGGAUAAUGUCUUCGGACCAAAGAUUUAUCGCCUUUGGAUGGGCCCGCGUUGGAUUAGCUAGUUGGUAGGGUAAAAGCCUACCAAGGCGACGAUCCAUAGCUGGUCUGAGAGGAUGAUCAGCCACACUGGGACUGAGACACGGCCCAGACUCCUACGGGAGGCAGCAGUGGGGAAUAUUGGACAAUGGGCGAAAGCCUGAUCCAGCAAUGCCGCUUGAGUGAUGAAGGCCUUAGGGUUGUAAAGCUCUUUUACCCGGGAUGAUACUGACAGUACCGGGAGAAUAAGCUCCGGCUAACUCCGUG